AGUCAAGCGGUAGAAGUGAGGAAACAAAUAGAAAGUGGCUUGCUAAGUUGGGCGGUGGCCGAGUGGAGAAGCGAGGCUUCAAUUCUUUUCUUACCAACCAAACACCAAGAGCAAAACUGAGAGACUAAGCCAUUUCUUUUCAUCUCAAGGCACAACCGAGAGAGAGGAAAAUAUUUCUGGUUCCUCCUUGUUCCAGUUUUCAACCGAGAGAGUGAGGGAGAGAGUUAGACAUUUGCUAGCUUUAUUUCUCCAGCUUGGAACCUCAAAACUCUGAGCCAAAGUGAGUGAGAGGGAGAAAAAUCCUGGUGGUAUACUUCACCUAACGGCCUCAACCGAAUGAGAGUGAAGUAGAUUGAAGAAAGAGUGAGAGUUGGUGCAAUUUUGAGGAACCGAAGCUCAACUUGGAGCCGUCUGCACUUGCUGAAUUCUAGAGGAAAGGAGUUCUUGUCCUUAGUUUAGCUACCCGAGAGACAUUAGGAGGAAAAGGAGAGAAGGACCAAAAGAAAGAAACAACAACAACAACUAGGAACUCAUUUCUGGCCACCUUCAACCGUGAGAACCAGCCACAAAGAAAGCAGGAAUGCAGUCUAUUGAGCUAAGAAUGGGAGAGAAAAACCAGAAUUUUAUUUUCCUAACUUAGAACCAUAAGAACCAGAGGUAAACUACUAUCUUUCUCUUCCAUUUCUUCUACGUUUAGCUAGUAGUCUUUUAGAAUGAAUUGAAACCAAGUAAAAGAAAAUUUUCUAGAAAACAAAGGUUGUCAAAGCUGGAAAUGUUCGUUUGAAGCUGCAUGUUCUCACUCUAAUGUUUAUAUGAUUGCAAGUUAGAUUUGAGUGUAAAAUGAAGAGAUUAUUAGAGGAAAUUUCAUACUUUUAAACUGCUAGCUGCUGAAACUCCUUCAUCUUGGCCGAGAGAACAAAAGAGAGUAUUCUCCAACUUUUCUCUUCAAACCUUGGCUAUAAAUUCUAUAUUGUGAUUCAAAACACCUCAUAGAAUAAUAAUUAUCACCUGGAUAUUAAGUUUGAAUGAGGAAAAUAAAGAAUUUUAUGGAGAAAACUUGUUUUCCAAACUACCUACUUGCUGGAAUUUUUCAACCUCAGCCGAGAGAGAUGGAAGGGAUAUUUUCUGAUAUUUCUCUAUAGAUUUUGGGCUGUAAACUUUCAUAUUAAGGUUGAUUACACCUUAUAAUAUCAUUAGAUGGUCAUGUAUGUGAAUUUUGGGGUGAAAAUGUGAUUUUUUAUGGCUGGAUUGUUGUUUGAAAGACUGUUAGGCUAAUAAACCAUUUACAGUUUAGUCAACGGAAUUUCUUGGCUUUGAAUGGAUAUUUUAGUAUAAAAUUUGCUGGAAAUGCUUGAUUUGUACUUGUUGCUGUGUUAUGAGUUUGUUGGUGAGUGAUUGGUGGAUGGAAAUAAAAUCUAAAUAGUUAAAAUGGAAGGGAAAGUUUGCUAUACCACCUACAGGAAUCAAAGGAGCCUUGUAACUUAUAUAAGAAGAUAUCCAUUUAUUACUUGGUUUAAUAGGCUCUAUAUAAAUUGUAUACACAUCUUAAGGUAAUAAACUAGUUAUGCAUGUGGUCUUGGUUAAUAACAGAAGGAAUUAUGUGACAAGAAAGUACUUUAAGGUUAGCUACUUCUAAACUUACCUUGUUAAACGUUAAUGUUGAGUUUUAGUACGAUAAAUCUAACAGUAUAAAAGUAGUGAAGUGACAUUACUGGAAUUGCUACUUAAACUUCCUUUCUUUUGGAAAUUAAAAGUUGAAGUAACAAGCGAGUGUGAGAAAAUGCACUAGUCAUCUCAUUUAAACAUAGCAAUGACUUAGAUUUCGGGUGGAAUGGUGACUUAAGGCUAGAAUACAACACGUAUGUUGAUUAUACUUUAGAAUUUCACCAAAUGAGUAGUUAAAUAAUUAUGGCAAUUAUAACUUGUCUCAGGAGACAGCGGUGCGCAAGAAAGCAAUUCUAAGAUCGAAGUGUAACUUUUGAUUAGGGUGAGUGUUUAAGAAUUUAUAUAUUUAACUGUUUAUGUUUAUUUAAGUGAAAUUAUGUGAUAAAUGUGCUUAUUAUGUAUAUUGCCAGUGAUUUAUUGUAAAGUGUAUCUCAAUUGUCCCUCGCCUUCUAAGUCGAGGGUGUACUUUAUCGCACUCGACUUAGUUGAACUUGAAGGUUGAUUAUUGACUAAAUGUUACUGUAAGUAUGUAUGAAUGUAAGCCGUAUGUGUACUUUAUCGCAUCGGCUGAACUGAGCCUCAAAACCCUCUGUUCAACAGAUUAUUCGAGCCAGCAAAGGGCUUGUUGGAUAGGACGGAAGCUUUGGGUAACUGUUUGGUAUACUCGGGUAUUACCCUGAAGUUGGGAGAUUAUUGAACUGAUUGCUGAAUGUAGGGGAUUGAUUAUUGUUUUGGAGGACAUAAGGAGGUGGAUUGGCGGAGUGUGCAAUAAUAUUGAAAUGAAUGUACAAUGACACUGAAAUGAGUGUGCAAUGAUAUUGAAAUGACACUGAAUUACUGAACGGAACUAAGUGCUACGUCUGGAACGAACGGGAACCACCUCUAGAGUCCGUAUCAAUACCGUAUCCUUUGAGGUGAUUGAUUACUUUUAUUAAAUUUGAUAUCCUGAAUUGUUAAGUUUGGUGAAUGUUUUAUACUGCUAAUUGGUUGUUGUAUCCUUUUGAAAGUGACAAUACAGUGAAAUGUGCAUUACUUGCUUAAUUUUACUAGUUAAGUGUUUAUUGAAUGUUACUUGUUCGGCAAACCUCACUAAGUUUUAGCUCAACCUUUUAGUUUUGUUUUCCUUACAAGAAUUGGUGGUCAGGGAAUGAACAAGGGAUCUUAAGGAGUUAACGUGAAGAAUUUUGUGAAUGUAAAUCCUUUAACAUCAAAUUAUGGUUGAGGCUAUUAUAUUGAACUUGGUAUUGUAAAAGAUUUGAGUAUUUGGUUUUGGUUUAUCGAAAUGUUAUCUCUGAAAUUAAUGUAAGUGAGUGAGUCCUGGCGAGAGUCAGGCAGAUGGUCCGCUAACUUCUAGGGUAUGCUCUAGGAGAAGGUGUGACGACCCCACCUCCCCUAAGGCGUACCAAAGGGUUCGGCGGACCGCCUGCCCAACUCUCGCCAGGACUCACUCACUCGUGUCUUACGCAUACAUCCAUAGACAAGAAAUAAC
rnacentral:lncRNA from 1 species